AUGAGGCGCCGUAUCUGGGUGUGGCCCAUGCUGGGCGUGGUCAUCAGGCCCAGGACCCAGAGGAUGGGGAGGUCCAAUGGGCUCCAGGCGGCCGCGACCCUGCUGGAGUCCGGGGGGGACCUCCAGCCCCCCGGGGGGUCCCUGCGCCUCCUCUGCCGAGGGUCCGGCUUCAAUUUCAGGAGUUUUGAAAUGGAUUGGGUUCGCCAGAGACCCGGGCAGGCGCUGGAGUGGGUUGGGAGCAUCAACACUCGUGGCAGCACCUACUACGCGCCGUCGGUGCAGGGCCGGGUCAGGAUCUCCAGGGACAACGGGCAGAGCUCGGUGACGCUGACCAUGAACAACCUCAAGGACGAGGAUUCCGCCGUCUAUUUCUGCGCCAAAACCACUGCUACUGGAAAUGUUAAUGCUGCUCAUGGUUUUGGCCCCGUCCCUCUCCCCAGGUUCCCACCUCUCUCCAUUUUCCCCAGACCCUGA